rnacentral:rRNA from 1 species
UGGGGAAUAUUGGACAAUGGGGGGAACCCUGAUCCAGCCAUGCCGCGUGUGUGAAGAAGGCCUUAUGGUUGUAAAGCACUUUAAGCGCGGAGGAGGGUACUGGUAUUAAUACUACCAGCUACUGGACGUUACUCGCAGAAUAAGUACCGGCUAACUCUGUGCCAGCAGCCGCGGUAAUACAGAGGGUGCGAGCGUUAAUCGGAUUUACUGGGCGUAAAGCGUGCGUAGGCGGCUAAUUGAGUCGGAUGUGAAAUCCCCGAGCUUAACUUGGGAAUUGCAUUCGAUACUGGUUAGCUAGAGUGUGGGAGAGGAUGGGAGGAUUCCAGGUGUAGCGGGGAAAAGCGUAGAGAUCUGGAGGAAUACCGAUGGCGAAGGCAGCCAUCUGGCCUAACACUGACGCUGAAAUACGAAAGCAUGGGGAGCAAACAGG